GGUUAAGUGACUAAGCGUACACGGUGGAUGCCCUGGCAGUCAGAGGCGAUGAAGGGCGUGCUAAUCUGCGAUAAGCGUCGGUAAGGUGAUAUGAACCGCAACAACCGACGAUACCCGAAUGGGGAAACCCGGUGCACAUGUGCAUCAUUGCAGCAUGAAUACAUAGUGCUGCAAGGCGAACCUGGGGAACUGAAACAUCUAAGUACCCAGAGGAAAAGAAAUCAACCGAGAUUCCCCCAGUAGCGGCGAGCGAACGGGGAACAGC
rnacentral:rRNA from 1 species